rnacentral:rRNA from 1 species
CCUACGGGAGGCUGCAGUGGGGAAUAUUGCACAAUGGGGGAAACCCUGAUGCAGCGACGCCGCGUGAGCGAUGAAGUAUUUCGGUAUGUAAAGCUCUAUCAGCAGGGAAGAAAAUGACGGUACCUGACUAAGAAGCCCCGGCUAACUACGUGCCAGCAGCCGCGGUAAUACGUAGGGGGCAAGCGUUAUCCGGAUUUACUGGGUGUAAAGGGAGCGUAGACGGCGGUGCAAGCCAGUUGGGAAAGCCCGGGGCUAAACCCCGGGACUGCAUUUGUAACUGUACUGCUAGAGUGUCGGAGAGGCAGGCGGAAUUCCUGGUGUAGCGGUGAAAUGCGUAGAUAUUAGGAGGAACACCAGUGGCGAAGGCGGGCUGCUGGACGAUGACUGACGUUGAGGCGCGAAAGCGUGGGGAGCAAACAGGAUUAGAUACCCCGGUAGUC